rnacentral:rRNA from 1 species
ACUACGGGGGGCAGCAGUGGGGAAUAUUGCACAAUGGGGGGAACCCUGCUGCAGCGACGCCGCGUGAGUGAAGAAGUAUUUCGGUAUGUAAAGCUCUAUCAGCAGGGAAGAAAAUGACGGUACCUGACUAAGAAUCCCCGGCUAACUCCGUUCCAGCAGCCGCGGUAAUACGUAGGGGGCAAGCGUUAUCCGGAUUGACUGGGUGUAAAGGGAGCGCAUACGGCUGUGCAAGUCUGGAGUGAAAGGCGGGGGCCCAACCCCCGGACUGCUCUGGAAACUGUAAAGCUGGAGUGCAGGAGAGGUAAGCGGAAUUCCUAGUGUAGCGGUGAAAUGCGUAGAUAUUAGGAGGAACACCAGUGGCGAAGGCGGCUUACUGGACUGCAACUGACGUUGAGGCUCGAAAGCGUGGGGAGCAAACAGGAUUAGAUACCCGAGUAGUC